GUUCAGUGUAAACUGCCUCUGUGGGGCUCAUUUCUGAGGCGCUUGACCAGGGGGUACGUUGUCAACACGGGGUGCCAACACGGGGUGGCCAACACGGGGGUGCCAACACGGGGGUAUGGACACCUCUCUCGGUGCCAACUCGUCUUGUGAAAAGCAACCCAAUCAACCACGCCUAGAGAGAGAGAGAGAGAGACGCCCUGGGAUUGAGAGUGACAGCCCGACUACCAUGUACAAAGGAAUGCAGAAGACCAGCACCAACAGCCAGGUUCCCUCUGUUAUUUUACGCGACCGUCGUUAGUCGGCCACAGCAGUAGCGUCAUCAUUGUAGUGGUUAACGGAGCGAUGCAUGGUUCUCCUUGCUGUCAUAGCCCCCAACAACCCAAGUGUUAUUCAGUUUGGUUCCUUUAAACACUGUGUCGUCCAGUAAAAUUUACGUGGUAACGCACCGUCACUGCCGUUAUCCCUAACUUCCCCAGCAAGCCACAUAAACCCUCCUUUUUUUUUAAUCCCCCUCCUAACCACUGCAAGAGGACACACACACGUUGGCCAGACGAUCCUACGGGAUCUUUGCGUGGGAAUCUGUGGCGUCGUAGCCGUGCUGGGAAUCACUCAACGCUACUGGCCCUCUCUCUCUAUCUCUCCCUCCCUCUCGUUGUAGUCUGGAACUCUGAGGCUGUGGUCUGAGUGAAGGGAGUGCUGAGGUGUUGCUGAGUGGACUAAGAUCUUGUUCACACCCACAACAGCAACACCCACCACAGCAACACCCACCACACCCACUGUACACUGACCUUCUCCACCAUGGGUGAACUAUGACGCUAACACAAACCACGAAGUGGAGCUAAUGGGUACUGCAGCAAGACCUUGAUCGCGGCCACAGAAGAGCUGAAUUAGAUGGGCAUCUCUUCGAGAUCCUCAGACGGGUCAUCUUAGGAUUAAGACCCGUGUCAGGACGCAGUUCCUGACGAUUCAAACUUCUAAUGAUGAAGAAUUAGACACAUGCUUCACAUCUGGGCAUCUUUAUUGUAGACGUUUCGCCAUCCAGUGGCUUUAUCAAUAACAAAUUCAAGGAUAUAAUUGGAAGACAGAACUACAUACAGAAGAUGAGGUAAUCAGUCCCUCAGUCUAAGAGUUAUUGAAGAGUACCAUUUAUAACGUUUGUAAUGUUUAUAACGGCUUGACAAAACUCCUGGAGAGCGAAACGUUGCUGCAAUAAAAUGUCACAUUAGUUU